rnacentral:lncRNA from 1 species
UCUGAAAUAGGACAAGUGGCACCUCGUGUUGAAACCUGGAGCUGGUCAACCCUCUGAGGCUGAUGCCGACCUUUGCAUCUGCCUCCCACGCCCUGCUUGUUUUAGCUGGACCGGGAGAAACUAAUGUCAAGACAAAAAAAAAAACCUGAAAUCCAUAACAUUUUGAUAGGUAGCUUUAUGAACAGUUACAAAUCAGAUGUUUGCCCCCCAGAUUUUAACUUUAUUCUCUGAAACAGAUCUAAAAUUCCUAUCUACCUCACAGUUUCACAUGUCUGCAACAUGGAUGCAAUGAUAUAUCCUUAUUUUAUGUAUCAUCCAUUCACCUGUUGAUCAAAGACUGUAUUCAAGAUGGCAGGCACAGUGAAGUCAAUGAUAACUCUAGUUUAUUGAGAAACUACUCGGGUGUUCCUUAUCCUUUAUCUUCAAGUACCCUAAGGUGCAAAGCACAGAAGGAGGGGUGGUUUAGAAAGACUGGGCUC